AUACGAUAGAUGCUUUGGCAUGGCUUUAAGGCUUUGUGUUGCUAAGAUUAUUAAGUGUUGAUUGAUCUGCCGUGUGGAAGAGGCAUUUGCUAUGCUUUGAGGGCUCAAAUUUGUUUAAUCUGGUCAUGCCUACAAAGUCUAUCAUAGAUGACUGGUGGAGGCUCUGGCCAAGCCUGUUGUAAUUGAUUGUACAAUUUGCUAUAUUUUCAUUUUAGCUGUGUGCCAUGAG
rnacentral:misc_RNA from 1 species